GAACACGUGAGCUGAUUCCGACUUUGGCCUCAAGUUGCUCCCGUCAAUGACAAGUGGGAGGAGUGGGAGUGCUGUGUUCAUGAAAUUGAGUAUCUCAGAAGAAUUUGGUUUGGCACUUAUUUUCCUCAACCUGUUAUUCUUCAAAUGUGCUUCCCAUGGAUUUGAUAAAUUUGGUGAGAUAAUGUUAUGUGUCAGGUAUGGCCAUAAGAUACUCAUGAAACUUAUUUUAUUUUGCCUCACACAAGAUGUAUGUUGUUUAGACUCAUGUACUGCCAGUACUGGUAGAUCGAUGAUCUAAGGAUCAUAUGAAUGAUUAAUGGAGGAUAAUUCAUAUUCAGUUCU